GUGCUAAUCUGCGAAAAGCGUCGGUAAGGUGAUAUGAACCGUUAUAGCCGGCGAUGUCCGAAUGGGGAAACCCAGUGCAAUUCGUUGCACUAUCGUUAACUGAAUACAUAGGUUAACGAGGCGAACCGGGGGAACUGAAACAUCUAAGUACCCCGAGGAAAAGAAAUCAACCGAGAUUCCCCCAGUAGCGGCGAGCGAACGGGGAGCAGCCCAGAGUCUGAAUCAGCUUGUGUGUUAGUGGAACGGUCUGGAAAGUCCGACGGUACAGGGUGAUAGUCCCGUACACCAAAAUGCACAGGCUGUGAACUCGAAGAGUAGGGCGGGACACGUGGUAUCCUGUCUGAAUAUGGGGGGACCAUCCUCCAAGGCUAAAUACUCCUGACUGACCGAUAGUGAACCAGUACCGUGAGGGAAAGGCGAAAAGAACCCCGGCGAGGGGAGUGAAAAAGAACCUGAAACCGUGUACGUACAAGCAGUGGGAGCACCUUCGGGUGUGACUGCGUACCUUUUGUAUAAUGGGUCAGCGACUUAUAUUCUGUAGCAAGGUUAACCGUAUAGGGGAGCCGCAGGGAAACCGAGUCUUAACUGGGCGUUAAGUUGCAGGGUAUAGACCCGAAACCCGGUGAUCUAGCCAUGGGCAGGUUGAAGGUUGGGUAACACUAACUGGAGGACCGAACCGACUAAUGUUGAAAAAUUAGCGGAUGACUUGUGGCUGGGGGUGAAAGGCCAAUCAAACCGGGAGAUAGCUGGUUCUCCCCGAAAGCUAUUUAGGUAGCGCCUCGUGAACUCAUCUUCGGGGGUAGAGCACUGUUUCGGCUAGGGGGUCAUCCCGACUUACCAACCCGAUGCAAACUACGAAUACCGAAGAAUGUUAUCACGGGAGACACACGGCGGGUGCUAACGUCCGUCGUGAAGAGGGAAACAACCCAGACCGCCAGCUAAGGUCCCAAAGUCAUGGUUAAGUGGGAAACGAUGUGGGAAGGCACAGACAGCCAGGAUGUUGGCUUAGAAGCAGCCAUCAUUUAAAGAAAGCGUAAUAGCUCACUGGUCGAGUCGGCCUGCGCGGAAGAUGUAACGGGGCUAAACCAUGCACCGAAGCUGCGGCAGCGACACUAUGUGUUGUUGGGUAGGGGAGCGUUCUGUAAGCCUGCGAAGGUGACCUGUGAGGCAUGCUGGAGGUAUCAGAAGUGCGAAUGCUGACAUAAGUAACGAUAAAGCGGGUGAAAAGCCCGCUCGCCGGAAGACCAAGGGUUCCUGUCCAACGUUAAUCGGGGCAGGGUGAGUCGACCCCUAAGGCGAGGCCGAAAGGCGUAGUCGAUGGGAAACAGGUUAAUAUUCCUGUACUUGGUGUUACUGCGAAGGGGGGACGGAGAAGGCUAUGUUAGCCGGGCGACGGUUGUCCCGGUUUAAGCAUGUAGGCUGGUUAUCCAGGCAAAUCCGGAUAAUCAAGGCUGAGGUGUGAUGACGAGGCACUACGGUGCUGAAGUAACAAAUGCCCUGCUUCCAGGAAAAGCCUCUAAGCAUCAGGUAACAUCAAAUCGUACCCCAAACCGACACAGGUGGUCAGGUAGAGAAUACCAAGGCGCUUGAGAGAACUCGGGUGAAGGAACUAGGCAAAAUGGUGCCGUAACUUCGGGAGAAGGCACGCUGGUGUGUAGGUGAAGUCCCUGCGGAUGGAGCUGAGACCAGUCGAAGAUACCAGCUGGCUGCAACUGUUUAUUAAAAACACAGCACUGUGCAAACACGAAAGUGGACGUAUACGGUGUGACGCCUGCCCGGUGCCGGAAGGUUAAUUGAUGGGGUUAUCCGUAAGGAGAAGCUCUUGAUCGAAGCCCCGGUAAACGGCGGCCGUAACUAUAACGGUCCUAAGGUAGCGAAAUUCCUUGUCGGGUAAGUUCCGACCUGCACGAAUGGCGUAAUGAUGGCCAGGCUGUCUCCACCCGAGACUCAGUGAAAUUGAACUCGCUGUGAAGAUGCAGUGUACCCGCGGCAAGACGGAAAGACCCCGUGAACCUUUACUAUAGCUUGACACUGAACAUUGAGCCUUGAUGUGUAGGAUAGGUGGGAGGCUUUGAAGCGUGGACGCCAGUCUGCGUGGAGCCAACCUUGAAAUACCACCCUUUAAUGUUUGAUGUUCUAACGUUGGCCCCUGACCGGGGUUGCGGACAGUGUCUGGUGGGUAGUUUGACUGGGGCGGUCUCCUCCCAAAGCGUAACGGAGGAGCACGAAGGUUAGCUAAUCCUGGUCGGACAUCAGGAGGUUAGUGCAAUGGCAUAAGCUAGCUUGACUGCGAGCGUGACGGCGCGAGCAGGUGCGAAAGCAGGUCAUAGUGAUCCGGUGGUUCUGAAUGGAAGGGCCAUCGCUCAACGGAUAAAAGGUACUCCGGGGAUAACAGGCUGAUACCGCCCAAGAGUUCAUAUCGACGGCGGUGUUUGGCACCUCGAUGUCGGCUCAUCACAUCCUGGGGCUGAAGUAGGUCCCAAGGGUAUGGCUGUUCGCCAUUUAAAGUGGUACGCGAGCUGGGUUUAGAACGUCGUGAGACAGUUCGGUCCCUAUCUGCCGUGGGCGCUGGAGAAUUGAGGGGGGCUGCUCCUAGUACGAGAGGACCGGAGUGGACGCAUCACUGGUGUUCGGGUUGUCAUGCCAAUGGCACUGCCCGGUAGCUAAAUGCGGAAGAGAUAAGUGCUGAAAGCAUCUAAGCACGAAACUUGCCCCGAGAUGAGUUCUCCCUGAGACUUUAAGUCUCCUGAAGGAACGUUAAAGACGAUGACGUUGAUAGGCCGGGUGUGUAAGCGCAGCGAUGCGUUGAGCUAACCGGUACUAAUGAACCGUGAGGCUUAACCUU
rnacentral:rRNA from 1 species